rnacentral:lncRNA from 1 species
AAAAAUUCUCACACACAAAACCUCAGUUUUCAUCAUUCUCAUCUCCUCCACCUACACACUCCAUAACCAUCAUAAUAUUUUUUUUACUUCAUUCACUUUUCUCCAUAAUACUACUCCCUUAUUCUUCAUGUGAAACCACGCUCUUUAUUUUAUCACUACAACCAUUAACCUCUUCCUCAUCUUCUCAUCAUCAACCAUAAAUCUCCUCUUUACUAUUUCAAAACCUCAUCAACACUCUUAAAACACCAUAAAAACUAUAAAAUAGGUUGUCUUAUUCUUAUUGGGCAUGUUUUAGUUUUGGGCUUUACCUUUUAUAGAUUUAUAGUCAUUACCACCUUCAUGUAUAUAAACAGCUCAAUGUUGUGAUAAUAAUGACAAUUUCAGUUCUUUUCCUUUUCUUCCUCUUUGUAUCAUGUGAAAUUCUCCUACUAGAGAAUCCAAUAUGGUAUUAGGCACACACUCUCUAUCCUCUUCCUCAUACAUGUUCAUCUUCCCGUAAUGGUAUGUAUUUUCAUUUUUUUCCCUUUCCAUUCACCAGAUAGCCAAACCACGUGGCAUUAUUCUCAUAACCACAUCCUUCAUUUCCUCCUUAUCUUCACCAAUUCUAUGAUUUCUCUCACCAUCUUGCCUAUCUAUAAACUGAACAUUUUCAGCCCAAAAUUCAUCAUUGUUGAAAACCCUAAUUUUUUU